CCUCAGUUGUAAGUACAUACUGCCCUUCCCAUCCCCAGCAGAUUCAUCUUGAACAUCCAUGCCAACCAGAUUUUGAUUUCUCCCCAUUUUUUUACUAGACAUUGCACUGCCACCAGCGUCCACACCAUCCUUCUCUUUACAGAACCCAUACUAGAGUCACAAAUCCUCAUCCCUACACACAAAAAAUCCAAAUCUUUGUAAGUAGACAAAUUAAGUACCCAGCGGAAAAACUAAACUUGAAAGAUGAAAUCCAACAACACUUUAUGCAAGCGUUUUAAAAAAUAGGAACAUUUCUUGUAGGCAUGCGAGAAGUAGAGGCAGAACACAGAGGAAGAACCAGUAGGCAUGUGAGAAGAAGAGGGACCCCCAUGACGACCAGGCCAACUUC
rnacentral:lncRNA from 1 species